GUGGCUCAAGGAGUAGGGCGCCAGCCCCAUAUGCUGGAGGUCUGGGUUCAAACCCAGC
rnacentral:tRNA from 1 species